rnacentral:rRNA from 1 species
UGGGGAAUAUUGGACAAUGGGCGCAAGCCUGAUCCAGCCAUGCCGCGUGAGUGAUGAAGGCCCUAGGGUUGUAAAGCUCUUUCACCGGUGAAGAUAAUGACGGUAACCGGAGAAGAAGCCCCGGCUAACUUCGUGCCAGCAGCCGCGGUAAUACGAAGGGGGCUAGCGUUGUUCGGAUUUACUGGGCGUAAAGCGCACGUAGGCGGACUUUUAAGUCAGGGGUGAAAUCCCGGGGCUCAACCCCGGAACUGCCUUUGAUACUGGAAGUCUUGAGUAUGGUAGAGGUGAGUGGAAUUCCGAGUGUAGAGGUGAAAUUCGUAGAUAUUCGGAGGAACACCAGUGGCGAAGGCGGCUCACUGGACCAUUACUGACGCUGAGGUGCGAAAGCGUGGGGAGCAAGCAGGAUUAGAUACCCUGGUAGUCCACGCCGUAAACGAUGAAUGUUAGCCGUUGGGGAGUUUACUCUUCGGUGGCGCAGCUAACGCAUUAAACAUUCCGCCUGGGGAGUACGGUCGCAAGAUUAAAACUUAAAUGAAUUGACGGGGAUCAUAGCUG